UAGGGAAUAUUGCACAAUGGGCGCAAGCCUGAUGCAGCCAUGCCGCGUGUAUGAAGAAGGCCUUCGGGUUGUAAAGUACUUUCAGCGGGGAGGAAGGGAGUAAAGUUAAUACCUUUGCUCAUUGACGUUACCCGCAGAAGAAGCACCGGCUAACUCCGUGCCAGCAGCCGCGGUAAUACGGAGGGUGCAAGCGUUAAUCGGAAUUACUGGGCGUAAAGCGCACGCAGGCGGUCUGUCAAGUCGGAUGUGAAAUCCCCGGGCUCAACCUGGGAACUGCAUUCGAAACUGGCAGGCUGGAGUCUUGUAGAGGGGGGUAGAAUUCCAGGUGUAGCGGUGAAAUGCGUAGAGAUCUGGAGGAAUACCGGUGGCGAAGGCGGCCCCCUGGACAAAGACUGACGCUCAGGUGCGAAAGCGUGGGGAGCAAACAGG
rnacentral:rRNA from 1 species